rnacentral:rRNA from 1 species
CCAUGUUUACACAUGCAAGUCGAACGGUAACGCGGGGGCAACCCUGGCGACGAGUGGCGAACGGGUGAGUAAUACAUCGGAACAUGUCCUGGAGUGGGGGAUAGCUCGGCGAAAGCCGGAUUAAUACCGCAUACGCUCUGAGGAGGAAAGCGGGGGACUCGCAAGGGCCUCGCGCUGCAGGAGUGGCCGAUGUCGGAUUAGCUAGUUGGUGAGGUAAAGGCUCACCAAGGCGACGAUCCGUAGCUGGUCUGAGAGGAUGAUCAGCCACACUGGGACUGAGACACGGCCCAUACUCCUACGGGAGGCAGCANUGGGGAAUUUUGGACAAUGGGGGCAACCCUGAUCCAGCCAUGCCGNGUGAGUGAAGAAGGCCUUCGGGUUGUUAAAGCUCUUUCGGACGGAACGANAUGGUUACAGUGAAUAACUGUGAUUGAUGACGGUACCGUAAGAAGAAGCACCGGCUAACUACGUGCCAGCNGNCGNGUUAAUACNUNGGGUGCGAGCGGUCAAUCGGAAUUACUGNGGCGUCACANCGUNCCGCUNCGCCGGUUUCCGCCCANGUCNGGNGUUGANAUCCCCCGGGGCUUAACGCGGGGNAA